rnacentral:lncRNA from 1 species
AUACAUAGCUUCUCAUUUGUUGUAGUUUUAAAUUUGGUUUAGUGAUGUUGGUGCUCAAAACAAAUUGAAUCAAGUGAUGGGAAAUUGAAGGCACUGAGAUUGAGUUCAUUAAUUAUAACAUAGGUAUCAAUUUUUUGUACUACUUAUUUGGAUUUAUUUUUUUUAGAUUGUUCCCUUGAAGUUUUGUUUGUGUUGAUGGAUUUAUUUGGUCUCGAUUGUUGGUGAACUUUAAGCUUGGUUAUCGGAGGAAAAUGCUUAAUUAAUGAACACAUAUGUUUUGUAGCACUGGAUAGGUGUAACUAAUGCUAUAUAAGGGGUUAGCUUAUGCUAUAUCUUUUAUUCGUGUCUUGGUUCUAUUUUAAGUUGUUUCUAUUGAUUAUUAAAUAACAAUGUGUAUCAAAUGAGGCAUAUGGACUUGAAUUAGUUUGCAUAAUUUAAAGAGGCUAGUGUGUUAAAUUCUCUGCACAGCUUAUGUCAUUUUGUGAACGAUUGACUUAUUCUGUUUGACACUUCCAAAGCACCUUACUUAAGUUGCACGGGUUGAAGGGUUAGAGGCUUGGAGUUCACCAAUCUAAUGUAGAACGUAUUCUCUGUGACAUGGUUCAGGUAAAGGCACAUGGUGCUAAUGUAGUGGAAGUUGCCUAUCCUUAUUGUUUAUCAUGGUGAGGUUUAAAAAGUUGUAAUUAAUUUCUGAACGUUAUGAUUAUAGUCAAGUUUCUAUGAUUUUUCUUCAUGGUUGUUUCUAUUUUGUUUAAUUGAAGGCCAAAUUGUGAAGGUGGUUUAUAUGACGAUGAUGUGCACGUACACGCGGUUACAAGCAUUAAAGCUUGCUUUGGAAUUGGGGGCUGUUUUUUUAUGGAAUUGGAUCUCAAGGUAUACCAACAGUAAUUCAAGUGUGAAAUUAGAUGAUCUAU